AAGUCCAGUUGCUUUAGAUUAAUACAACUUCUAUAAACUACUAUAUACUGCAUGGAGCAAGAGAUGGUCCAAAGUGACAUCUCAGGCCAUGUAAUAUUCUGGCUAGCCUUAUGCCAGGGUGAUAAAUAUGCUAAGACAAGUCAAGGUAACAUGAAUUCUCCAUUUGACUAGCUUUACAUUUCAACACAGGUAGUAGGUUGUCUGUAGAAGAAGCAGAAUGGAGUAUAGUUGGAGAGCAGGAUUAUGCUUGGUUUGGUUAUUCUCUACACACAAUCACAUCUUUAAGAAUCAAACUUUGCUGUUGGUUGGAAGUCCCACAUGGAGUACCUGCAAGAGGUACCACCUACCAAGUUGCAUUUCUAUCUAGACAGUUGCACCACACUGGGACUGCUUCAGUGUUUGAGCUGAAAUCAAGGAGUUCAUUAUCUCCUCUGAGCACUCUGAGUGGAGACCGGGCAUACGCUCGAUUUGGGGCUAAGAUUCAUUUAAAUGAUCUGGACAAUGAUGGCCUUGAUGAAAUCAUAGUGACAUCACCUCUAAGAAAUGAUGUAACACUCACAAUGCUUGGAACUGAGGCUGGACGGGUCUACAGUAUAUGU